rnacentral:rRNA from 1 species
UACGUAGGGGGCAAGCGUUGUCCGGAUUUAUUGGGCGUAAAGAGCGUGUAGGCGGCCUGACAGGUCUGCUGUGAAAACUCGAGGCUCAACCUCGAGAUGUCGGCGGAAACCGUCUGGCUAGAGUCCGGAAGAGGAGAGUGGAAUUCCUGGUGUAGCGGUGAAAUGCGCAGAUAUCGGGAAGAACACCCGUGGCGAAGGCGGCUCUCUGGAACGCAACUGACGCUGAGACGCGAAAGCGUGGGGAGCAAACAGG